UUGAACGCUGGCGGCAUGCCUUACACAUGCAAGUCGAACGGUAACAGGUCUUCGGAUGCUGACGAGUGGCGAACGGGUGAGUAAUACAUCGGAACGUGCCCGAUCGUGGGGGAUAACGCAGCGAAAGCUGUGCUAAUACCGCAUACGAUCUACGGAUGAAAGCGGGGGAUCGCAAGACCUCGCGCGAUAGGAGCGGCCGAUAUCGGAUUAGCUAGUUGGUGAGGUAAAGGCUCACCAAGGCGACGAUCCGUAGCUGGUCUGAGAGGACGACCAGCCACACUGGAACUGAGACACGGUCCAGACUCCUACGGGAGGCAGCAGUGGGGAAUUUUGGACAAUGGGCGCAAGCCUGAUCCAGCCAUUCCGCGUGAGUGAAGAAGGCCUUCGGGUUGUAAAGCUCUUUCAGGAGGGAAGAAACGGUUACGGAUAAUACCUGUGACUAAUGACGGUACCUUCAGAAGAAGCACCGGCUAACUACGU
rnacentral:rRNA from 1 species